UACGUAGGGGGCAAGCGUUGUCCGGAUUUAUUGGGCGUAAAGCGCUCGCAGGUGGUUCAUUGCGUCGUGCGUGAAAGACCCCGGCUCAACUGGGGAGGGUCGUGCGAAACGGGUGAACUAGAGGCCAGUAGGGGGAUGCGGAAUUCCGGGUGUAGUGGUGGAAUGCGUAGAGAUCCGGAGGAACACCAGCGGCGAAGGCGGCAUCCUGGACUGGUCCUGACACUCAGGAGCGAAAGCGUGGGGAGCAAACAGG
rnacentral:rRNA from 1 species